AUCCUACUCUCCCAACGACAAAAAAUUAGCUGAAGAAAUGCAGUGCCAAAAAUCACACUGACUUUAUUAGAAAAACCAUGAAUUCAUUCACCAGUUU